rnacentral:rRNA from 1 species
UACGUAGGGUGCAAGCGUUAUCCGGAAUUAUUGGGCGUAAAGAGCUCGUAGGCGGUUUGUCGCGUCUGCUGUGAAAACUGGGGGCUCAACCCCCAGCCUGCAGUGGGUACGGGCAGACUAGAGUGCGGUAGGGGAGAUUGGAAUUCCUGGUGUAGCGGUGGAAUGCGCAGAUAUCAGGAGGAACACCGAUGGCGAAGGCAGAUCUCUGGGCCGUAACUGACGCUGAGGCACGAAAGCGUGGGUAGCAAACAGG